UCUCCCUCUCUCUCUUCAGCUCUCCCUUUCUCUCAUCCGUUCCCUUCUCUCUACGGAAGUCGCCGGAAAUCGCCGCCGUACCGCCGCCGUCGCCGGAAUCCCAAUCCUCACCAAAAUUUCCAAAUUUUCUUCUCUUCCUCCCCUCUUUCCAUUUCUCCAACCAAAAUCAAGAAAUUUAGCCAUCCAACCCUCCAAAAACCCUAGAACCCGAAGCUAAAUUAGGGCUUUUUGUGAUUUCUUCUUUCCAAGCUUAAAUCAAGCUAGGCUAUGGGUUUGGCAAGGAUUUUUGGUGAAGCAGGCCAAGGAGAAGGAAUAGGACGUGAUUUUUGAAGAGGAAAGGGAAACACGAUCGUUAAGGAAGCUUAAGCGGAAAGCAUCAGAGUGUGGAGUACGCCAGCAUUUUCCAGGUUACAACGAGGUCAUUCCGGACGAUUUGGAUUAGAAGUGGGUCGUUGGCCGAGUUCGUGUGUUGUUGUUCCUGUUGCUUGAAGUUCUUCCCUUGUGGUAUUCUAUCGAUUUACUCGUUUUUCAUUCCAUGUUGAACUCUGUGAGGUCCGCCUACCUGGGAGCGCGCCUCACCCCUUUGUUUUAUUGUUGUUGUUGAACUUUCCUUUCAUUUCGGUUAUGAUGUAAGCCCUAAGGCGCCACAAUGCACUUGCCCACUUUAUUUUUAAGCUUUUCCAUACUUGUUCAUUUGAGUGUUGGGUUGUUG